rnacentral:rRNA from 1 species
UACGUAGGGGGCAAGCGUUGUCCGGAAUUAUUGGGCGUAAAGAGCGCGUAGGCGGUCCGAUAAGUCGGCUGUGAAAGUCCAGGGCUCAACCCUGGAAAGCCGGCCGAUACUGUCGGACUAGAGUCCGGAAGAGGCAAGUGGAAUUCCCGGUGUAGCGGUGAAAUGCGCAGAUAUCAGGAGGAACACCGGUGGCGAAGGCGGGUCUCUGGGCCGGCCCUGACGCUGAGACGCGAAAGCGUGGGGAGCAAACAGG